rnacentral:rRNA from 1 species
AGCCUGAACCAGCCAUGCCGCGUACAGGAUGACUGCCCUAUGGGUUGUAAACUGCUUUUGUCCAGGAAUAAACCAAGAUACGUGUAUCUGGCUGAAUGUACUGGAAGAAUAAGGAUCGGCUAACUCCGUGCCAGCAGCCGCGGUAAUACGGAGGAUCCGAGCGUUAUCCGGAUUUAUUGGGUUUAAAGGGUGCGUAGGCGGCCAAUUAAGUCAGGGGUGAAAUACGGUGGCUCAACCAUCGCAGUGCCUUUGAUACUGAUUGGCUUGAAUCCAUUUGAAGUGGGCGGAAUAAGACAAGUAGCGGUGAAAUGCAUAGAUAUGUCUUAGAACUCCGAUUGCGAAGGCAGCUCACUAAGCUGGUAUUGACGCUGAUGCACGAAAGCGUGGGGAUCGAACAGGAUUAGAUACCCUGGUAGUCCACGCCCUAAACGAUGAUAACUCGAUGUUGGCGAUAGACAGCCAGCGUCCCAGCGAAAGCGUUAAGUUAUCCACCUGGGGAGUACGCCCGCAAGGGUGAAACUCAAAGGAAUUGACGGGGGCCCGCACAAGCGGAGGAGCAUGUGGUUUAAUUCGAUGAUACGCGAGGAACCUUACCCGGGCUUGAAAUUUAGUGAAGGAUGCAGAGACGCAUCCGUCUUUCGGGACACGAACCUAGGUGCUGCAUGGCUGUCGUCAGCUCGUGCCGUGAGGUGUUGGGUUAAGUCCCGCAACGAGCGCAACCCCUAUGUUUAGUUGCCAGCAUUUAAGGUGGGGACUCUAAACAGACUGCCUGCGCAAGCAGAGAGGAAGGUGGGGACGACGUCAAGUCAUCAUGGCCCUUACGUCCGGGGCUACACACGUGCUACAAUGGAUGGUACAGCGGGCAGCUACAUAGCAAUAUGAUGCUAAUCUCUAAAAGCCAUUCACAGUUCGGAUUGGGGUCUGCAACUCGA